CUGAACUUCUAAGACACUACAAAGUUAAACAUCCUCACUUUGGGCGCACUGCUAGAUUUCCAUGUACAUACUUUUCUUGUCCAUGCACAUUUAAAACAUGGAAUGCAUUAAUUUGCCACCAAAGUAGACUACACAGAAAUGUAACACAAAAAAUUCACUCAACUUUUACCUGUCAACUUUGUGAUUGUAAGAAUUUGGCAAAGGAAAUAGAAUAUUUUAGUCACAUCAACACAUAUUUAAAAAAACACGAAAAUGUAAAAUGUAUGUUUAAUGGUUGUAGUUUCCAAACAUGCAUUUAUGGUACUUUUAAGUCUCACAAAAGUCGCCAUCACACCCCACACACACUUGAGGAUUUUAUUCCAGGUGUUGUAAAAAGCACUCGUUUAGCUACACCUUCAUUUCCAGAAAUAUCUGAUUUCCAGGAGGAGGAUCAAUGUGUAGAAGGUGCUCAGUGUGUGGAAGUGGACACGUUUGACACACAAGAGGGAAAAAGGCUACCUAAAGACCACACUGAGCAGCAACUAGCCACAGCUUUAUUACAGCUGGAGUUUUUGGUACAAGUGCCAGGUAUUGCAGUUGAUGAGUUUUUACAGGAACUUAAUUAUUUACUCAACUCUGCCUCAGUUCCCACUGGUGUUGUAAGAGAUAUACUUGAGCGUCAUAAGGUCCAAUUUACAGAUGAUUUAGUUAAGGAUAUUAUAUCAGCUCUUUGUGCAUCCAAUCCAGUUUGCAGAGCCAUUGAAAAAGGGGGAUCUCUUAGCACUGUGCAUAGAAGGUUAAAAUACUACAGAGAAAAAUUUUGUGUUGUUGAACCAGUCACUUACCUUCUUGAUAAUAAAAAAGCAACCUUUCAGUAUGUUCCAAUAUUAAAAUUAUUACAACAAAUUUUAAAUUGCCAAGCUAUUCUAGAUAAGGUUAUUUCAAAUCAUAGAGGGAAGCGUGAGUUUAUUGUUGACUCCUCCUAUGAAUUUAAAUCUCCAGAGGAUGGCAAAUAUUUAAUUGAAAACGGGUUAUUGAAUGCAGAUGAAAUCAGGAUUUCUAUUCGCCUGUAUGUGGAUGAAUUUGAGAUUUGCAACCCUUUAGGCACUUCUAGAAAAAAGCAAAAACUCUGUGGUGUUUAUUGGGUUUUGGGUAACCUGCCACCAGGAUCUCAUUCAGCUUUGUCCUCCAUUUAUCUUGCUGUCCUUUUCAAAAGUGUUGACGCAAAAGUCUAUGGUUUUGAGCAAGUGUUACAGCCGCUCCUGCAAGAUCUUAAAACCUUGGAGACUUAUGGUGUGUUUGUCCCUUUGUUGGGCACAUCUUUUAAAGGUACAGUUCAGUGUAUUGUUUCUGAUAACUUAGGUGCGCACACUAUCGCAGGCUUUGUUGAAAGUUUUUCAGGUGAGUUCUUUUGUCGAUUUUGUACAGCUAAGAGAUGUGAUGUUGAAUCUGACACAGUUGCUUGUGGUGCUUUUAAUCUGCGGACUAAAGAACUGCACAAUGAACAUAUAAAAAUAGCUCUGGAAACAAAUAAUCAUUGUUUCGGAGUUAAAAGAGAGUGCAUUUUUACCAAACACCUCACACAUUUCCACGUUCUGACCGGUUUUCCUCCUGAUGUAGCUCAUGAUGCAUUAGAGGGUGUUGUGCCAGUGGAGUUGGCUUACUGCUUGUCAGCAUUAAUUUCAAAAAAGUUUUUUACUAUUGAUAAUCUAAAUAAAGCAAUAUUGGCCUUUCCAUACAAGUGGUCAGAUAAGACAAAUAAACCUCAUAUUGUGCCACAAAAUUUGUCUGCUCGCAAAACUGUGGGGGGAAACGCCCACGAAAAUUGGAGUUUGUUGAGGUUUCUCCCUUUUUUGAUUGGACAUUUAGUACCUGAAAAUGAACCUUCAUGGUUGGUGUUACUGGAUUUAAAAGAGAUUAUUGAACUUCUUGUUGCCCCAACACAUACUGAUGAAUCCAUUUCAUAUCUUGAAAGCAAGAUAACUGAACACAGGCAAAGAUACAAAGACUUGUUUCCAGCUGCCAGACUUUUACCAAAGCACCACUUUCUUAAACACUACCCUUAUUUAAUAAAGUGUUUUGGUCCUUUGGUUACACUCUGGACACUUAGGUUUGAAGCUAAACAUAGUUACUUUAAAAAAGUUGUGAAACAUACUAGUUGUUUUAAAAACAUUCCGCUGACUCUAGGCACCAAUUCAUGAUAGCAUUUCACCUUAACUCGCCCUCCUAUGGUAAAACCUCUCUUGAUGUACCUAGUGUGUCCUCAUUUCCAGUGGAUCUUUUGAAUCCAAAUAUUGCUUUGGCUUUAACAUCAAAAUAUCCCGAUAUAACUGAAGUCAAUCUGACUAAGAAUGCAUCUGUGAAUGGCAUACAGUACAGCACAGGCAUGAUAGUUGUUCAGGGGUCAACUAGCGGCAUGCCAGACUUUGCUGGGAUUGUGCACAUGUGUGUCAUUAAAAAUGAAUUGCUCCUUAUUGUGAGAAUGCUAUGCGGAUGGUACACUGACCAUUACAGAGCCUUUGAAAUAACCCCAUCACCAACCAGAGAGACAAAGCUUGUGCAUUUAACUGAUCUGGGAGACAUCUAUCCACUGGCAGAUUAUAUUGUUGGAGCAAGCCGAAUGGUGACCUUGAAAAGGCAUAUUAUUGUUAAAGACUGAGAAUAAUGGCUUCACCCUGCAUACUCAAAGUCAUAUUGGUGGACAACACCUGCCAGAGGCUAACACUACCAUGUGGACUUCCUCAAUCUGUGAGUGAGCUUAUGGAAGAAGUACAGCGCCAGUGUGGACUGACCUACACCUUCAACCUACAGUUUAUGGAUCCACUCUUUAAUGAUGACUUCAUGAAUCUGACCUCAGUAUCUGAAAUACAAAACAGAGGCACUAUUAAGGUGGUAAAUCUGUCAGAUCCAACCAUUUUACAGUCACCUGUUUCAUCUGCUGGUUGUCGUUCACCGUCAACUUCAAGUUUUUCUGGUGUGAGCUGUCCUGAUACAGACAUUCUUUCUUCAACUGAGUCUCAGUCUGAGCCAUCCACUUCAAGGUCAUUGUGGCCAGACAAGUUUUGUGUUCCUCAGUUUUCCUUUGACUCUGAAUUAAAACUUGACCGAGCCAAUGCAGAAUAUAAAGAAAAUGGGACACUUCUGACUCCAGAUAACAAACUUUUGUCAAACAUUCUCGAUGGACUUGUGCAAGAAAUUGUUCAUUAUGGACUUUAUAUAACCGACAACCAGUUCAACAGUGUGGGUGAGGCGCUCAUACUAAAGCAUCCCUGUCUGUCAGAGCGAGCCUCAGUAAGUGGGUAUGCUGGUUGGAAACAUCGCUUAAAAAACAAGCUUUCAAUUUACCGAACUCAGUUACGAAAACUUGGUUGUCACGAAGUAACUGUCAAUGCUUUGAGCCACAAGCCACAAGGCAAAGGCCCUGCUUUUGCCAUUAAAAAGCCAAGGCGCUCUGAAGUGAACUAUUGCCCCCCCUAUCCCACAGGAGAGACUGAGGAAACUUUAGAAACACUUCGAGUGGAACUUAUAAUGGAUGUAAAAAAGAGGAACGGCAAAGAAACAGUGCAUCGAAAAAUGGACAAGACGUUCUCAUACAGAAGAUUAGAGGUAGUUCGGUAAACACCCAUGGUACAAGAUUUCCAGGAACGGUGGCAUGCGCUCUUUAAAGUGUGUGAGAUAAACGCUGAAUUCAAGAGAAUCACCACUCUGCCACUGCAGUCCCGGUUCCUCUCGCAGCUAGACAUUCUGUCUUCCAAACUUAUUGCUCUCUAUAAAAAAAGAGGUGGACUAAUAGGCAAACACCUAAAAAGUAUAAUGGACCAAAUGACUGAAGAAGAUGUCGACCAUGGGCGUGAAAGUGUUCUGAAGGGCCUUUGUGUGUACCUCAAUGAAGACCCCGAACAUCUGAUACGACAGCAUGUAGGAGUAAGUGAUACAGCCUUUGAAGAAUCAGUUGAGGAAACUACUGUGGGGAUCUUCACGGUGAAACAACAGGAGGCGCAGCCUACUCCAGACGAUGUAGGAAUUAUCCUGGAAGGCCAAAUUGUUAUCCAGGAUUUAGACAAUGUUCCUCUGGCUGUUGCACUACUGUUUGGCCUCCUGUAUGCUCUACAUAUGGAUUAUCCUCAUCAACUCAGGUAUACCUUUGAAGUGAUCCAGAAACUGAUCAUGGAGCUAGAUGGUGGCACACUUUCAAAGAAAGUCCAGGUCCUGAAGAAUAGACUCAAUGAGUAAUGCUGGCCAGUGAGCAUGACCAGCUUAUUUGAGGACUUGUCCAUUUAAGUUGCUUUUCAUUGUUCUCAUGUUGUUGUAAACAAACUUUUAAAUAUGCUUAGUUACUUAAAAAAAAAAGGCGUUCUGU